rnacentral:rRNA from 1 species
UCUUUAGUUGAAGAGAACUGGAAAGUUCCGUCGUAGAAGGUAAUAACCCUGUAGGCGAAAAGGAAAGAAAAGUAGAUCUACUCCAGAGUACCACGAGACACGUGAAACCUUGUGGGAUGCUGGGAGGACCAUCUCCCAAGGCUAAAUACUACCUAGUGACCGAUAGUGAAGCAGUACCGUGAGGGAAAGGUGAAAAGAACCCCGGAAGGGGAGUGAAAUAGAAUCUGAAACCGUGUGCCUACAAUCGGUCGGAGCACAUUAAAGUGUGACGGCGUACUUUUUGUAGAACGGGCCAGCGAGUUACGAUAUAUAGCAAGGUUAAGCACUUAUGGUGUGGAGCCGAAGGGAAACCGAGUCUGAAUAGGGCAACUAGUUGUAUAUUGUAGACCCGAAACCGGGUGACCUAUCCAUGGCCAGGAUGAAGCGGAAGUAAAAUUCCGUGGAGGUCCGAACCACGUUGGUGUUGAAAAACCAUGGGAUGAGCUGUGGAUAGCGGAGAAAUUCCAAUCGAACUCGGAGAUAGCUGGUUCUCCUCGAAAUAGCUUUAGGGCUAGCGUCGGGUAAUUGAGUAGUGGAGGUAGAGCACUGAAUGGGCUAGGGGCUGACAACAGUUACUGAACCCUAUCAAACUCCGAAUGCCAUAUACUUGUACCCCGGCAGUCAGACUACGAAUGAUAAGAUCCGUGGUCAAAAGG